GACGAACGCUGGCGGCAUGCCUAAUACAUGCAAGUCGAGCGAACAGAUGAAGUGCUUGCACUUCUGACGUUAGCGGCGAACGGGUGAGUAACACGUAAGGAAUCUACCUAUAAGCGGGGGAUAACAUUCGGAAACGGGUGCUGAUACCGCAUAAUAUCUUCUUCCGCAUGGAAGAAGAUUGAAAGACGGCUCUGCUGUCACUUAUAGAUGACCUUGCGGUGCAUUAGUUAGUUGGUGGGGUAAUGGCCUACCAAGACGAGGAUGCAUAGCCGACCUGAGAGGGGGAUCGGCCACAUUGGGACUGCGACACGGCCCAAACUCCUACGGGAGGCAGCAGUAGGGAAUCUUCCGCAAUGGGCGAAAGCCUGACGGAGCAAUGCCGCGUGAGUGAAGAAGGCCUUCGGGUCGUAAAACUCUGUUAUAAGAGAAGAACAAAUUGUAGAGUAACUGCUACAGUCUUGACGGUAUCUUAUCAGAAAGCCACGGCUAACUACGUGCCAGCAGCCGCCGUAA
rnacentral:rRNA from 1 species